UACGAAGGGGCUAGCGUUGUUCGGAAUUACUGGGCGUAAAGCGCACGUAGGCGGAUAUUUAAGUCAGGGGUGAAAUCCCGGGGCUCAACCCCGGAACUGCCUUUGAUACUGGUAUCUCGAGUCCGAGAGAGGUGAGUGGAAUUCCGACGUGUAGAGGUGAAAUUCGCAGAUAUCGGGAAGAACACCCGUGGCGAAGGCGGUUCUCUGGGACGGUACUGACGCUGAGACGCGAAGCGUGGG
rnacentral:rRNA from 1 species